GGGAGGGUUGAGCAGUGGAGAGGGUGGGAGUCUGGGAAGUGUGAGGGAACAGAGGAUUUUUGAAAGGGAAAGGUUUUAGGGGGUGGCACGUGGACCUUGUGCCGAGAAGAAACUAAUCCCUCAGAAACUGACAAUGCUGGUUCAAAGGCGCUACAGAUGAAGAUGACGCUAUCACGUUUCCAGUUUCCAUUGGGUGGCAGGACGCAGCCCCAGCAUUCAGCUCAGAGCCUAGCACAAGGAAGAUUUUCAAGAAGAAUCUGGCUUUCUAAUUUCCACUGUUAUUGCCUCUUCUACAAGAGCCUUUCAACAAAGUCUGUUAUCAUCUUUCCUCCACAGGAGCAAAAAAGGUGAGGAAACUGAGGCCAAAAGACAUCAGGUGGCAUGCCAAGAAAGAUCCUGUGACAAAGUAUUCUUCAGUUGGAUCUACAGCAAUUGCUUUUACUGGAGAGUCAUGGCUU